ACCCUUUUCAGACAAACCUGAAGAACCUUUCUCAAAACGCCUGUCAAAGCCAAUGAGACUGUCACAGGCAGAGGAAGUCCUGCCUUCCCCUGGGGCUGCAAAAGAUCCUGUCUCUGCACAGUCUCUGCUCCUCAAUCUAAAUUGCACUUCACCGAGCCAAAUAGGCGGUGAGGGGCUGACUUGUGCUGUAUUUCAUUUCCCUCCCUCAGGUAACAUUGGUUAUGCGUAUAACACCCAGUUCCCUUUUGGUUGGUACACUCAAUACAACACAUCAGUAUGAGGAUAUAACAUCACACACCGAAAAUGCCGCCGCAGAUAGUCUGAGAUGAACUGGCCCUGAUAAAACAGCAGUGAUGAUGUCAGCUCUUCCGCUUCAUAAGCUUGAUGAAUUGAGACCGUGUUAAGCACACAAGCAGUCAGCCCAGUACACUGUAUGUUUUCUCAAGCUGAGAGGUGGAGAAUCUGCACGGCUUACUGGAGAGAGUGGGUUUGCUGCUCGCGGUGUUAGGCUCCGGUGUGAAGCGGACAGCCAGCGUCUCAUCCAUUGGAAGAAUGUUAGCUAGCCCUGCAGCCUCCAUAUCCUUCAAGACUAAGAACUGGGUAAACGGCAGUGACAGCAUAGCCUUAGCGGCUGUCCAGGACCGUGUGAGCUCAUACAUAAAGUUGGGGAAAACAGGCAAUUUGAGUUUCAUCACUGCAAGCUGUUGUUGGAGAAAAUAAUUUCCUGCAAGCUGAGUUAGCUGUUGGCGAGGAGGUGGAGCAGGCCGCAGCACUUCAAGGUGCUGGUCUUGGUUGUAAGAUCUCCAGUACUGAGGACCUGGUAAGGCUCCUUUUCAUCUCCUCCACCUCCGACUUUGACUUUAUCCUCCGAGAGGUUGCCUGAAGCAGCGAGGGAAAGCGCAUCCUCAGACUGCACACCGGGCUGUACAUUGUCGACGGAGACAGUGAAGUCAACUGGGUCCUCCACCAUACCCACGUACUUCAUGGUUUAAACUCUACAGAGGACUUGAGGGCUUCAGAUAGCAGUGGAUCUCCGCAUGCAGCUUAGCUUCCCAGCACCUUCAACAGGAACGCCACACGCCUUUCCAGGGUCGUCCUUCGGAAUCAGCGACAGUACGCACAGGUCUCCAGGUUAGCAAGUGCAGCUUUAGCAUGCAACAUGCCAUGACACACCAGGCAAGCGUCGUGGGAAUCCAACGAUUCUUAGUAAGAAAACCUGCAAGCACUGGGUUAUGGACGAUAUUUCAGCUUCCCAGUUUUGCCUUGCUAGACCAGCUGGAAGAGCUUUUCUUUUUCUCAGGUGCCAUUCCACUUGGCAAUUUAGCUUGCUAAACAGAGUUGUUAGCUUGCUAAACAGGUGUGGGAAUAGCUGUUAGGUUAGCAAGGCUAAACAGGUACAUGUUAGCUAGGCAAAGCGGCUAGUUAGCAAGUUAAACAAGCGCUGAGUAGAGAGCCUUGGUAGCGAUGCCUUGGGCAGGGAGCUAGCUCACCUCCAAGCAGAAAGUUAAAUUGCUAGCAAGGUAUCUACAAGAGUCAGGUUAUGUGAGGUGAAGUGCCAAAAUAUUGAGGAGCAGAGACUGUACAGGCUCUUUUGUCGCCCCAGGGGAAGGGAGGCUUUCCCUGCCUUUUACAGUCUCAUUGACAGGCGUUUUGAAAAAGGAUCUUCAAGUUAAGGGUCUGCGUAAAGGGUCAGUAUGAAUUGAAUAAGAAGUUUUCUGAACUGUAAAUCAUGCAAAGAUAUUCCAGUAGAGCCACGGAUUAAAAAUAUAGACCUGUAAAUGUGCAUGAUAUGUUGUCUUUAAGUAAAGUAGAAUGUCUGGUGAAGAUAUUUGUGCAUCGAAUAAGCUAAAAGAGUUGGAGGAGACCAAAGCAGAGCCAAAGGGAGAAUGUAUAUUGGACUUCCAUUUAUCAGAGUGCCACAAACAGACCUCAAAGGUAAUGUUCAUAAAGCUCUGUGUCUGUUGGAUGUGUGAAUAGGCAACUAUUUGGUAUUUUGGAGACCUUUUGCCCUCUAGUUGUAAGAAAUCACUUGAUGCAGCUUUAAGUGAGAUUACGAAAGUAUUAGCAGUUCUGCUGUCAUUCUACUAUCAAAUAUACGAGUAGCCAACUCAUUACUGGUGCAUUUCAUGUUAAAUUACUCAUUAGUUUUAAAGUUGUAGCUGGUUCUGGUGGCAUUUACAAUUGUAAUAAAGUAUCAUUGCACCUUA